AUGACGAAGCAUAUUGAUGCGCAGUUUCACAAGAUGAAAAAGUUACUUGCAUUUAGACACACAUUACUUGAAAAAGUUCAUACUUUAGAGAAUGCAACUGAAAUGUUGAUCAACUUUGUAAACCGCAUCAACCUCAACAAGAAGCUUCCAUCUUCUAUCUAUGAACCAAGCAAGGUAAAGCCUCUCUGUCUUCUACAGGAUACUUUUGAAUGCUAUAGCCAUGCUCAAUACAACACCUCUGUUGCAAGACAAAAUUUCAAUCCUCAGCAGAUCCUUAAAAUUUAG